rnacentral:piRNA from 1 species
UAAGCAGAAAAUUCCUUUUGUGGUGGCAA